rnacentral:rRNA from 1 species
UCGACUAAGCCAUGCGAGUCGAAUGUAGCAAUACAUGGCGUACUGCUCAGUAACACGCGUACAACCUACCCUUAGGCCUGGGAUAACCCCGGGAAACUGGGAAUAAUACCGGAUAUCUCGCGAAUGCUGGCAUGCGUCGCGAUAGAUACGCUCCGGUGCCUCUGGAUGUGUCUCAGGUCUAUCAGGUUAGUAGUGUAACGUAACGUACCUACUAGCCUACGACGCGUACUGGUUGUGCGAGCAAGAGCCCGUAGAUGCAUUCUGAGACACGCAUCCAGGCCCUACGUGCAUGCAGCAGGCGCGACAAUCUUUACAAUGCUGCAGACAGCAAUAAGACUCCUCGAGUGCCAUACAAUCCUGGUUGUCGUGAUGCCUAAGAAGCGUUGCGUAU